GUGCCAGCCGCCGCGGUAAUACGGAGGGUGCAAGCGUUGUCCGGAAUCACUGGGUGUAAAGGGUGUGUAGGCGGGAUUGUAAGUCAGAGGUGAAAUCUUGCGGCUCAACCGUAAAAUUGCCUUUGAUACUGCAGUUCUUGAGUCCCGGAGAGGUUGUUGGAAUUCGUGGUGUAGCGGUGAAAUGCGUAGAUAUCACGAGGAACACCAGAGGCGAAAGCGAACAACUGGACGGGUACUGACGCUAAGGCACGAAAGCGUGGGGAGCAAACAGGAUUAGAAACCCCUGUAGUCC
rnacentral:rRNA from 1 species